CCAUUUUUAGAAAGAGUUGGGUUUUCUUUUAGCAGUUCGUAUAAUGGUCUUCCCAGUAUACCAUAAUCAUGGAUCCAGAGUUGGCACCAUCCAGUCAUACCCAACAAUGUUCGAAGGUCCUUGGUUGUGGACGGCCUUGGUGUUUGGCAAAUGGCUUCUUUUCAGGCUGUUCCAAGUUCUCGAAAUCCUCCUGUUAUUUCAUAUCCUAGAUAAGAGACUCGAGUUUGAAUUAAUUGUGCCUUCUGUUUGGACACUCGGUAUCCGCUUAGUCCCAGAAAAUUCAACAAUUCAACAGUCCACUGUACGCAUUCUUACUUAGUUUCAGUAGCAAUUAACAAAUCAUCAACAUAUUGUAGCAAAGUUCCUGUCUAAGUGGGUGCAUUCCAUGAUUUUAGUUCUCGUGCUAAUUGGUUUCCAAAAAUCAUUGGACUGUUUUUAAAUCCUUGAGGUAACACUGUCCAAGUUAACUGAGUUUUUCUUCCCGUAUUGGGGUUUUCCCAUUCAAAAGCAAACAA